rnacentral:miRNA from 1 species
GUUGAUUUUCUCACUCUUCUUUUGUCCACUUACACUCCCUUAAAAAGACAAAAUGGAGUGUAAGUGAACAAAAGAGGAGUGAGAAAAUCAAC